GUGGAGUGAUCGAUUAAAACCCCGUUUGAUUUUGAUGAGCUCAAAGCAUUUGAGUAUAUCUUGUGAUUACUAAUGAAUUCAAUUGAGUGUUUCAGUGAAAAUUCUGUCCAAGUGUCUCUAGACUUGGUUCAUAGCAUUUUGGAUAAGUUAAGAAGUCUGCAUGAACCAAUGUCUGAGAUACGAGUCGACUCCCGAGUUUCACGAGUCGACUCCAAGCGUAUCAAGGUCA
rnacentral:lncRNA from 1 species